AGCUGGGGAUUUGAUGAAGGGGGGCAGGGGCAAUCCCCUGCCCCCUUCAUCAAAUCCCCAGCUCCCCUUCACCA